rnacentral:rRNA from 1 species
UACGGAGGGUGCAAGCGUUAAUCGGAAUUACUGGGCGUAAAGCGCACGCAGGUGGCUGAGUCAGUCGAUUGUGAAAGCCCUGGGCUUAACCUGGGAAUUGCAGUCGAUACUACUCAGCUAGAGUAUGGGAGAGGGCAGUGGAAUUCCCGGUGUAGCGGUGGAAAUGCGCAGAUAUCAGGAGGAACACCGGUGGCGAAGGCGGGUCUCUGGGCCACUACUGACGCUGAGGAGCGAAAGCGUGGGGAGCGAACAGG